UUAAGCGACUAAGCGUACACGGUGGAUGCCCUGGCAGUCAGAGGCGAUGAAGGGCGUGCUAAUCUGCGAUAAGCGCCGGUAAGGUGAUAUGAACCGUUAUAACCGGCGAUACCCGAAUGGGGAAACCCAGUGUGAUUCAUCACACUAUCAUUAACUGAAUCCAUAGGUUAAUGAGGCGAACCGGGGGAACUGAAACAUCUAAGUACCCCGAGGAAAAGAAAUCAACCGAGAUUCCCCCAGUAGCGGCGAGCGAACGGGGAGGAGCCCAGAGCCUGAAUCAGCAUGUGUGUUAGUGGAAGCGUCUGGAAAGGCGCGCGAUACAGGGUGAGAGCCCCGUACACAAAAGCGCAUAUGCUGUGAGCUCGAUGAGUAGGGCGGGACACGUGGUAUCCUGUCUGAAUAUGGGGGGACCAUCCUCCAAGGCUAAAUACUCCUGACUGACCGAUAGUGAACCAGUACCGUGAGGGAAAGGCGAAAAGAACCCCGGCGAGGGGAGUGAAACAGAACCUGAAACCGUGUACGUACAAGCAGUGGGAGCCUCUCUUUAUGGGGGGUGACUGCGUACCUUUUGUAUAAUGGGUCAGCGACUUAUAUUCUGUAGCAAGGUUAACCGCAUAGGGGAGCCGAAGGGAAACCGAGUCUUAAUUGGGCGUUAAGUUGCAGGGUAUAGACCCGAAACCCGGUGAUCUAGCCAUGGGCAGGUUGAAGGUUGGGUAACACUAACUGGAGGACCGAACCGACUAAUGUUGAAAAAUUAGCGGAUGACCUGUGGCUGGGGGUGAAAGGCCAAUCAAACCGGGAGAUAGCUGGUUCUCCCCGAAAGCUAUUUAGGUAGCGCCUCGUGAACUCAUCUCCGGGGGUAGAGCACUGUUUCGGCUAGGGGGCCAUCCCGGCUUACCAACCCGAUGCAAACUGCGAAUACCGGAGAAUGUUAUCACGGGAGACACACGGCGGGUGCUAACGUCCGUCGUGAAGAGGGAAACAACCCAGACCGCCAGCUAAGGUCCCAAAGUCAUGGUUAAGUGGGAAACGAUGUGGGAAGGCCCAGACAGCCAGGAUGUUGGCUUAGAAGCAGCCAUCAUUUAAAGAAAGCGUAAUAGCUCACUGGUCGAGUCGGCCUGCGCGGAAGAUGUAACGGGGCUAAACCAUGCACCGAAGCUGCGGCAGCGACACUUUAGUGUUGUUGGGUAGGGGAGCGUUCUGUAAGCCGUUGAAGGUGUCCUGUGAGGGGUGCUGGAGGUAUCAGAAGUGCGAAUGCUGACAUAAGUAACGAUAAAGCGGGUGAAAAGCCCGCUCGCCGGAAGACCAAGGGUUCCUGUCCAACGUUAAUCGGGGCAGGGUGAGUCGACCCCUAAGGCGAGGCCGAAAGGCGUAGUCGAUGGGAAACGGGUUAAUAUUCCCGUACUUGGUGUUACUGCGAAGGGGGGACGGAGAAGGCUAUGUUGGCCGGGCGACGGUUGUCCCGGUUUAAGCGUGUAGGCUGGUUUUCCAGGCAAAUCCGGAAAAUCAAGGCUGAGGCGUGAUGACGAGGCACUACGGUGCUGAAGCAACAAAUGCCCUGCUUCCAGGAAAAGCCUCUAAGCAUCAGGUAACAUCAAAUCGUACCCCAAACCGACACAGGUGGUCAGGUAGAGAAUACCAAGGCGCUUGAGAGAACUCGGGUGAAGGAACUAGGCAAAAUGGUGCCGUAACUUCGGGAGAAGGCACGCUGACACGUAGGUGAAGUGAUUUACUCAUGGAGCUGAAGUCAGUCGAAGAUACCAGCUGGCUGCAACUGUUUAUUAAAAACACAGCACUGUGCAAACACGAAAGUGGACGUAUACGGUGUGACGCCUGCCCGGUGCCGGAAGGUUAAUUGAUGGGGUCAGCGCAAGCGAAGCUCCUGAUCGAAGCCCCGGUAAACGGCGGCCGUAACUAUAACGGUCCUAAGGUAGCGAAAUUCCUUGUCGGGUAAGUUCCGACCUGCACGAAUGGCGUAAUGAUGGCCAGGCUGUCUCCACCCGAGACUCAGUGAAAUUGAACUCGCUGUGAAGAUGCAGUGUACCCGCGGCAAGACGGAAAGACCCCGUGAACCUUUACUAUAGCUUGACACUGAACAUUGAGCCUUGAUGUGUAGGAUAGGUGGGAGGCUUUGAAGCGUGGACGCCAGUCUGCGUGGAGCCGACCUUGAAAUACCACCCUUUAAUGUUUGAUGUUCUAACGUGGACCCGUAAUCCGGGUUGCGGACAGUGUCUGGUGGGUAGUUUGACUGGGGCGGUCUCCUCCUAAAGAGUAACGGAGGAGCACGAAGGUUGGCUAAUCCUGGUCGGACAUCAGGAGGUUAGUGCAAUGGCAUAAGCCAGCUUGACUGCGAGCGUGACGGCGCGAGCAGGUGCGAAAGCAGGUCAUAGUGAUCCGGUGGUUCUGAAUGGAAGGGCCAUCGCUCAACGGAUAAAAGGUACUCCGGGGAUAACAGGCUGAUACCGCCCAAGAGUUCAUAUCGACGGCGGUGUUUGGCACCUCGAUGUCGGCUCAUCACAUCCUGGGGCUGAAGUAGGUCCCAAGGGUAUGGCUGUUCGCCAUUUAAAGUGGUACGCGAGCUGGGUUUAGAACGUCGUGAGACAGUUCGGUCCCUAUCUGCCGUGGGCGCUGGAAGACUGAGGGGGGCUGCUCCUAGUACGAGAGGACCGGAGUGGACGCAUCACUGGUGUUCGGGUUGUCAUGCCAAUGGCACUGCCCGGUAGCUAAAUGCGGAAAAGAUAAGUGCUGAAAGCAUCUAAGCACGAAACUUGCCCCGAGAUGAGUCUUCCCUGAGACUUUGAGUCUCCUGAAGGAACGUUAAAGACGAUGACGUUGAUAGGCCGGGUGUGUAAGCGCAGCGAUGCGUUGAGCUAACCGGUACUAAUGAACCGUGAGGCUUAACCUU
rnacentral:rRNA from 1 species